rnacentral:rRNA from 1 species
UCAGGUUAUAACUUAGAGAUUAUCAAUAAUUUAAUAAAUUUGGCGGUAUUAAGGUCUAACUAGAGGAAUCUGCCCUGUCAAGGAUAACACACCUAAGGCUUUUCUUCACUUUUUUAGUUAGCAUAUCGCCGUUGUUAGAUAAUUAUUCAAAUAGAUCGUCUUAAUUUUAUUAAGCACUUCAGGUCAAGAUACUACUUAUAGUGAAGUUUGAGAUGGAUUACAAUCUAUAGAUAGAUACGGAAAAUUUUUUAUUUGAAGGUGGAUUUAGUUGUAAGAAUUAAACUAUGUUAUUCUGAAUCAGGUCUUUAAUAUGU